rnacentral:rRNA from 1 species
GGCUCAGAUGAAACGCUGCGGGCAGGCCUAACACAUGCAAGUCGAGCGGAUGAAGAGAGCUUGCUCUCUGAUUCAGCGGCGGACGGGUGAGUAAUGCCUAGGAAUCUGCCUGGUAGUGGGGGACAACGUUUCGAAAGGAACGCUAAUACCGCAUACGUCCUACGGGAGAAAGCAGGGGACCUUCGGGCCUUGCGCUAUCAGAUGAGCCUAGGUCGGAUUAGCUAGUUGGUGAGGUAAUGGCUCACCAAGGCGACGAUCCGUAACUGGUCUGAGAGGAUGAUCAGUCACACUGGAACUGAGACACGGUCCAGACUCCUACGGGAGGCAGCAGUGGGGAAUAUUGGACAAUGGGCGAAAGCCUGAUCCAGCCAUGCCGCGUGUGUGAAGAAGGUCUUCGGAUUGUAAAGCACUUUAAGUUGGGAGGAAGGGUUGUAGAUUAAUACUCUGCAAUUUUGACGUUACCGACAGAAUAAGCACCGGCUAACUCUGUGCCAGCAGCCGCGGUAAUACAGAGGGUGCAAGCGUUAAUCGGAAUUACUGGGCGUAAAGCGCGCGUAGGUGGUUUGUUAAGUUGGAUGUGAAAGCCCCGGGCUCAACCUGGGAACUGCAUUCAAAACUGACAAGCUAGAGUAUGGUAGAGGGUGGUGGAAUUUCCUGUGUAGCGGUGAAAUGCGUAGAUAUAGGAAGGAACACCAGUGGCGAAGGCGACCACCUGGACUGAUACUGACACUGAGGUGCGAAAGCGUGGGGAGCAAACAGGAUUAGAUACCCUGGUAGUCCACGCCGUAAACGAUGUCAACUAGCCGUUGGGAGCCUUGAGCUCUUAGUGGCGCAGCUAACGCAUUAAGUUGACCGCCUGGGGAGUACGGCCGCAAGUUAAAACU